UCCUGGCAAAAACACCCAGGAGAGAGCCAGGGCCGUCCAGACCAGCGCGGCCCUGCUCCAGUUUGCUACCUCCCUGCCUGGAUUUGACACCUCCUCCACCUUCUCCAAGGCAGGUGAAUUUGUGCUGCAGCUGGGUCUCUGUGCAUACCACCCAGCCAGUGACAUCAGUCGGCAUGCCAAGGGUGGGAUCAAUUGGCUGCACAAGCUCCUGCUCCAGAAGAGGGGGCUCAAGACCAGGAAGGCAGCAGACCUGUGGUGCCAGGACGGGCUCCAUGACCCCAAGUGCCUGGGAUAUAGAAAUCUGGCCAGGGUGGGAGAGGUAAGGACUCUCCGCCGGUGCAUUGCAGCAGCUCAGGUGUGGAGCUGUGUCCCGCUGCAGUGAGUGUGUCAUGGACACAGGGCAAGAGCCUGCUCCUUAUUUCCACAGAGUAUGUGAGGCUCCUGGGAAUGUCCGUGGGGUGAGGCGUGGGAAUGAUCCAGAUCUAAAAGACCCCGAACCUCUAGUGGGU